UACGUAGGGUGCAAGCGUUGUUCGGAAUUACUGGGCGUAAAGGGCGCGUAGGCGGAUCUGUAAGUCGGUUGUGAAAUCCCCGGGCUUAACCUGGGAGCGGCAGCUUCGAUACUGCAGAUCUUGAAUACUUGAGAGGAUGGCGGAAUUCCAGGUGUAGAGGUGAAAUUCGUAGAUAUCUGGAAGAACACCGGAGGCGAAGGCGGCUGUCUGGCAAGUUAUUGACGCUGAGGCGCGAAAGCGUGGGGAUCAAACAGG
rnacentral:rRNA from 1 species